CCCACUACCCCAUCCCUAUCCCAGCCAUGCCGUCGUCAUCGGCUCAUCGCCUUGCGCGUAAUAUCCUUCCUCCACUGUACCUGCCCCCACUUCUUAUUUUAUCCUCGUGACUCAAUAAGCGCAGGCAGCCCCCCGGAGCGGUGGAGCAAUCGGACGACGAACCCCGAUCGAGUGGGCGAGCGAGCCGACGAGACGAGCGCACAAGAGGACGGACGGGGCCGCCCAAUCCAGAGCCCCAGGCCUUUUUCCCCCCUCGCCAUGGCGUCGAGCAGCCGCGCCACGCCCACGCGCUCCCCCUCCUCCGCGCGGCCCGCGGCGCCGCGUCACGCGCACCACCACCACCACUCGCAGUCGUCGGGCGGGAGCACGUCCCGCGCGGGCGGGGGUGGGGGAGGCGGAGGCGGCGGGGGCGGGGGCGGCGCGGCCACGGAGUCGGUCUCCAAGGCCGUGGCGCAGUACAACCUGGACGCGCGCCUCCACGCGGUGUUCGAGCAGUCGGGCGCCUCGGGUCGCAGCUUCGACUACUCCCAGUCGCUGCGCGCGCCGCCCACCCCGUCCUCCGAGCAGCAGAUCGCCGCCUACCUCUCCCGCAUCCAGCGCGGCGGCCACAUCCAGCCCUUCGGCUGCACGCUCGCCGUCGCCGACGACUCCUCUUUCCGCCUCCUCGCCUUCUCCGAGAACGCCGCCGACCUGCUCGACCUGUCGCCGCACCACUCCGUCCCCUCGCUCGACUCCGCGGCGCCGCCCCCUGUCUCCCUGGGUGCCGACGCGCCUCCUCUUCUCCCCCUCGUCAGCAGUCCUCCUGGAGCGUGCCUUCGCCGCGCGCGAGAUCUCGCUGCUAAACCCGCUAUGGAUCCACUCCAGGGUCUCUUCCAAGCCGUUCUACGCCAUCCUACACCGCAUCGACGUCGGCGUCGUCAUCGACCUCGAGCCCGCCCGCACUGAGGACCCCGCGCUCUCCAUCGCCGGUGCAGUCCAGUCCCAGAAGCUUGCUGUCCGCGCCAUCUCCCGCCUCCAGGCGCUACCCGGCGGGGAUGUCAAGCUGCUCUGCGACACAGUCGUGGAACACGUCCGCGAGCUCACGGGUUACGACCGUGUCAUGGUGUACAGGUUCCAUGAAGACGAGCACGGGGAAGUUGUUGCUGAGUGCCGGCGCGAUAACCUUGAGCCCUACCUCGGGUUGCAUUAUCCCGCCACAGAUAUCCCCCAGGCGUCCCGCUUCCUUUUCCGACAGAACCGGGUGAGAAUGAUUGCCGAUUGUCAUGCCACGCCGGUGAGAGUCAUACAAGAUCCUGGGCUGUCACAGCCACUGUGUUUGGUUGGCUCUACACUGCGCGCCCCACACGGGUGCCAUGCACAGUACAUGGCGAACAUGGGUUCCAUAGCAUCGCUUGUUAUGGCGGUCAUCAUCAGCAGUGGUGGCGACGAUGAGCAAACAGCACGCGGCGGCAUCUCGUCGGCAAUGAAGUUGUGGGGGUUGGUUGUGUGCCACCAUACAUCACCACGGUUUAUCCCUUUUCCAUUGAGGUAUGCUUGUGAGUUUCUCAUGCAGGCUUUUGGGCUGCAGCUCAAUAUGGAGUUGCAGCUUGCGCACCAGCUGUCAGAGAAGCACAUUUUGCGAACACAGACUCUGUUGUGUGACAUGUUACUGCGAGAUUCACCAACUGGCAUUGUCACACAGAGCCCUAGCAUCAUGGAUCUUGUGAAGUGUGAUGGCGCUGCACUCUAUCAUGGAAAGUACUAUCCAUUGGGUGUCACCCCUACUGAGUCCCAAAUUAAAGAUAUCAUCGAGUGGUUGACAGUGUGUCAUGGGGACUCAACAGGGCUCAGCACAGAUAGCCUGGCUGAUGCAGGCUACCAUGGUGCUGCUGCAUUAGGGGAUGCUGUAUGUGGCAUGGCAGUAGCCUAUAUUACGCCAAGUGACUACUUGUUUUGGUUCCGGUCACACUGCUAAAGAAAUCAAAUGGGGUGGUGCGAAGCAUCACCCAGAGGAUAAGGAUGAUGGUCAGAGGAUGCACCCACGAUCAUCAUUCAAGGCAUUUCUUGAGGUAGUUAAAAGCAGAAGCCUACCAUGGAGAAUGCAGAAAUGGAUGCAAUACAUUCCUUGCAGCUCAUAUUGCGCGACUCCUUCAGAGAUGUUGCAGAGGGCACUAGUAACUCAAAAGCCAUUGUCGAUGGACAAGUUCAGCUUCGGGAGCUAGAAUUGCGGGGUAUAAAUGAGCUUAGUUCCGUAGCAAGAGAGAUGGUUCGCUUGAUUGAGACAGCAACAGUCCCUAUAUUUGCAGUAGAUACUGAUGGAUGUAUAAAUGGUUGGAAUGCAAAGGUUGCUGAGUUGACAGGCCUUUCAGUCGAGGAGGCAAUGGGAAAAUCACUAAUAAAUGAUCUUAUCUUCCAGGAAUCAGAGGAGAUAGUUAAAAGGCUACUGUCACGAGCCUUAAGAGGUGAUGAAGACAAAAAUGUGGAGAUAAAGUUGAAGACAUUUGGGCCAGAGCAAUCGAAUGGACCGAUAUUUGUUAUUGUCAAUGCUUGUUCCAGUAGAGAUUACACAAAAAUAUUGUUGGUGUCCUGUUUUUUGUUGGACAAGAUGUCACAGGCAAAAGGUGGUCAUGGAUAAAUUUGUCAACAUACAAGGGGAUUAUAAGGCUAUUGUACACAAUCCAAAUCCUCUAAUACCCCCAAUUUUGCAUCAGAUGAGAAUACUUCUGUUCAGAAUGGAACACGGCUAUGAAAGACUUACAGGAUGGGUCGAGAAAUGAAGUAAUUGGUAAGCUGCUUAUUGGAGAGGUAUUUGAAAUAUUUGUCAACUUAAGGCCCAGAUGCAUUGACAAAGUUCAUGUCGUCCUUCACAAUGCUAUAGGGGGACAGGAUUAUGAGAAGUUCCCCUUUUCAUUUUCCGAUAAGAAUGGAAAGUAUGUGCAUGCCUUAUUGACCGCCAACAAAAGGAGCAGUAUGGAUGGUAAGUCCAUUGGGGCCUUUUGUUUCUUGCAGAUUGCAAGUGCCGAAGUACAGCAAGCCUUUGAGAUUCACAGACAACAAGAAAAGAAGUGUUAUGCAAUGAUGAAAGAAUUGGCCUAUAUUUGCCAGGAGAUAAAGAAUCCUCUUAGUGGCAUCCAAUUUACCAACUCUCUGUUGCAGAUGACUGAUUAAAUGAUGAACCAGAGGCAAGUUCCUUGAAACUAGCUCCGCUUGUGAGAAACAGAUGUCCAAGAUUGUAAAGGAUGCCGGUCUUCAAAGUAUUGAGGACGGCUCUUUGGUGCUUGAGAAAGGUGAAUUUUCUCUUGGAAGUGUCAUGAAUGCUGUUGUCAGUCAAGCAAUGGUAUUGUUGAGAGAGAGGGAUAUACAGCUUAUUCGGGAUAUCCCUGAUGAAAUCAAGGAAGCAUCUGCAUAUGGCGAUCAAUAUAGAAUUCAACAAGUUUUGUCUGACUUCUUGCUAAGCAUGGUGCAGUUUGCUCCAACCGAAAAUGGCUGGGUAGAAAUACAAGUUAGACCAAAUUUAAAACAAAAUUCUGACGGAACAGAUUCAACGCUUUUUGUCUUCAGGUUUGCAUGUCCUGGCGAGGGCCUCCCCCCUGACAUUGUACAGGAUAUGUUCAGCAAUUCUUGCUGGUCAACCCAUGAAGGCAUUGGGCUAAGCACAUGCAGGAAGAUCGUCAAAUUGAUGGGCGGCGAAGUCCAAUACAUCAGGGAGUCGGAGCGGAGUUUCUUCCUCAUCAUCCUCGAGCUGCCCCAACCUCGGCCAAGAGCUAGUAGAGAAGUCAGCUGAUAUGUUAAGCUCAGCGCUGACCUUACCCAACUGCUUGGUCAACUAGGUGACUUGAGCUUCCCUGAUAAGAGGGAACCUAAUCUACGAGAAGCCUGGAAACACCAAUAUGACUCUGAUGGAGCACAUCAAAGCUGCCACGGUGAUUAUAUGAUUCUCAGUGUCUAGAAUCUGUUUCCGGUGCGCCACUGUAAGUCCGGAUGACCAAAGAUCCAAGUUCAUGGUGGCUAGUAAUUUAUACAAGUGCCUGGCAGCAAUAUGGUUCUUAGGGUAGACCCAUGACCAGCUCCACGUAGUACAUAAUUUGUUAUUAGCUUAUAUGUAUAUAAUCUGUCGUGUAUACUAUGCAUAAGGAGCUUGUAUCAGCUCCCGCGGUUGUAUUUUGCAGGCCUUCGCAGGCUUACUGCACUUGAGCAUUUCGUUUCCUGGGAAUUUCAGCGUUCUGUUUUAAAAACA